CACGGACUUCGGUCUGGUGGCGAGUGGCGAACGGGUGAGUAAUGUAUCGGAACGUGCCCAGUAGCGGGGGAUAACUACGCGAAAGCGUAGCUAAUACCGCAUACGCCCUACGGGGGAAAGCAGGGGAUCGCAAGACCUUGCACUAUUGGAGCGGCCGAUAUCGGAUUAGCUAGUUGGUGGGGUAACGGCUCACCAAGGCGACGAUCCGUAGCUGGUUUGAGAGGACGACCAGCCACACUGGGACUGAGACACGGCCCAGACUCCUACGGGAGGCAGCAGUGGGGAAUUUUGGACAAUGGGGGAAACCCUGAUCCAGCCAUCCCGCGUGUGCGAUGAAGGCCUUCGGGUUGUAAAGCACUUUUGGCAGGAAAGAAACGUCGCGGGUUAAUACCCCGCGAAACUGACGGUACCUGCAGAAUAAGCACCGGCUAACUACGUGCCAGCAGCCGCGGUAAUACGUAGGGUGCAAGCGUUAAUCGGAAUUACUGGGCGUAAAGCGUGCGCAGGCGGUUCGGAAAGAAAGAUGUGAAAUCCCAGAGCUUAACUUUGGAACUGCAUUUUUAACUACCGAGCUAGAGUGUGUCAGAGGGAGGUGGAAUUCCGCGUGUAGCAGUGAAAUGCGUAGAUAUGCGGAGGAACACCGAUGGCGAAGGCAGCCUCCUGGGAUAACACUGACGCUCAUGCACGAAAGCGUGGGGAGCAAACAGGAUUAGAUACCCU
rnacentral:rRNA from 1 species